AUUGAACGCUGGCGGCAUGCUUUACACAUGCAAGUCGAACGGCAGCACGGACUUCGGUCUGGUGGCGAGUGGCGAACGGGUGAGUAAUACAUCGGAACGUACCCAGUAAUGGGGGAUAACUAUCCGAAAGGAUAGCUAAUACCGCAUACGCCCUACGGGGGAAAGAGGGGGAUCGCAAGACCUCUUGUUAUUGGAGCGGCCGAUGGCUGAUUAGCUAGUUGGUGAGGUAAAGGCUCACCAAGGCGACGAUCAGUAGCGGGUCUUAGGGGACGAUCCGCCACACUGGAACUGAGACACGGUCCAGACUCCUACGGGAGGCAGCAGUGGGGAAUCUUGGACAAUGGGCGCAAGCCUGAUCCAGCAAUGCCGCGUGCGUGAAGAAGGCCUUCGGGUUGUAAAGCGCUUUUGUCAGGGAGCAAAUCCUUGUGGCUAAUACCCACCGGGGAUGAGAGUACCUGAAGAAUAAGGACCGGCUAACUACGUGCCAGCCGCCGCAGUAACAC
rnacentral:rRNA from 1 species